rnacentral:rRNA from 1 species
AUUGAACGCUGGCGGCAUGCCUUACACAUGCAAGUCGAACGGCAGCAUGGAGAGCUUGCUCUCUGAUGGCGAGUGGCGAACGGGUGAGUAAUGCAUCGGAACGUACCGUGUAAUGGGGGAUAACGUAGCGAAAGUUACGCUAAUACCGCAUACGACCUGAGGGUGAAAGCAGGGGAUCGCAAGACCUUGCGUUAUACGAGCGGCCGAUGUCAGAUUAGCUAGUUGGUGAGGUAAAGGCUCACCAAGGCGACGAUCUGUAGCGGGUCUGAGGUGAUGAUCCGCCACACAGGGAGUGAGACACGGUCCAGACGCCUACGGGAGGCAGGAGUGGGGAACUUUGGGCAAUGGGGGCAACCCUGAUCCAGCCAGGCCGCGUGAGUGAAGAAGGCCUUCGGGUUGUGAAGCUCUUUCGGCCGGGAAGAAAUCGCACAGGCUAAUACUCUGUGUGGAUGACGGUACCGGCAUAAGAAGCACCGGCUAACUACGUGCCAGCAGCCGCAGUAA